CUGCUGAGAUUUUUAAUGUGCUCCACAAGGUCAGCACAGAACUUGUAGCCACCUUUGAGUACACAGAGAACGACAAUAUCAUUGUCUCCAAUGUCUUGCAUAAUAUCUUUAGCCAGUCGUUCUGUCCUGUCAACAAUAAUGCCAUGAGGAAUAAGCACAUAUUCCAGAUCUCCAUAGUAAUGCUGUGGAUAAGUGAACAAAUCCAGACUAUAUCCAGGCCAAUCAUCUGAAAUCACAACGCCGCGGCCUCCACCUCCCCGCGCCGCCGCGCCGUUCCCGGCCAUCUUCCUCCGAGCCCGCCCGAGGGGCUGCGGCGGGGCGGAGCCGAGCAGGGCCGGGCCGUCCGGUGCCCCCGGUCCCCGGCGAGAGGUGGACGGCCGAGGGAGAGGCCGGGAGCCGGGGCUGAGGGGCGCGCCCCGGAGUAGGCCGCGGAACUGGGGGUGUGCGUCCCGCUCAGCCGUCAGCGGCCUUCAGAGAGGAAGUACUGUGAUGCAUACAUUAAAAUGCGUGCCGUUCUGAGUGAGGAAGCGGCAGCGCGUGCAGAGCUUUGUCUACAAAAGGCAGUUGGAGAUGGAAGGCGCCUGGAACUGUCUAAAGCUCGAGGAGGGCAUUGCUGCUGGCGGGAGCGAGGCGUCGUGCUGGAGAUGUGGGCACAAUGUGAUAAGGGGCCCGGGCUGAAUGAGCGAGGUGGAUAAGAUUAAAGUGGUGUGGCUUAAACGGACAGUCUAACAGGUCUGCGCUUAUACUCUAGAGAAGGAGAAAAACAAACAAACAAAAAACCCUGUCAUCUAUCUUGUUUUCCAUCUUUGCUGACUUCUGAGCUGGUGCUCCUCCCCAGCACUGCAUAGGUGUUGGAGUAAGUGGCGUCUUCAGGAACUGGACUCGAGGAUCGUUAUGGGUCCCUUCCAAUUCGGUAUAUUCUAUGGUUCUCACUGCCUUCAGCCCACUGCAGCAUUUCCCAUGCUGUGUGUUUUCAUUAGAAGGGGAGCAGAACAGGAGCCACCCACCUGCCUUCCCUCUUCUGCUUCUCUAGAACUGUAUAAUGCUGUCCUUUCACACUCUUACAGAUGAGAAGGAUCUUGCAUCCUUGAGGUUGCUCUGAGCAUUGUGCACCUUUAAGUUUCCUUUUUGCAUCCCAUUGUGUGGGGAAAAUCCUAACAGUCCCUCCAUCCAGUGCAAGUAGUUACAGGGUUUUUUUGAAAGUAUUUUAUUUUCCUAUAAGUGAGAUUUGGUUAUAUUUUACAGUAUUUAUCUGUUAAAUAUAGAACUUACAGAAUUCUGCCACUCCUAUACUAGCAAAUAUUAAAGGAAUAAAAAGUUGGUUUUAGAGACCUGGGCAUAAUGAAAUGUGUUUACUUUGACCUGAGCAGCUAUUACCAACCAGACCAAGCAGGAAGACAUUUUAGUUUGUGCACUGCUUUCUGUAAUACAGUCCUAAAGACUCAGAGGCCCCAAGUCAUAACAGAUGGACCCUGACAACUGGGUGCAUCAGGCAAACCAGGAGCCUGGUGUCCAACAUGGGUUGCUUUUUAGGUGCAUGUUACUUCGUUCCCACUUGCAUUAGAAGUGAUAGGACAGCUAAUAGCUUAGGAAUCUGGUGUUAAGGAUAUUUUUAUGAAUGAAUCUACAAUUACAGUCUGGAUAAGUACUACAGUAACUUAAAAUGACCUUGUUAUAGAUGCUUUGGUCUUAUGUGAAGUCAAACCUGGUUGCCUCUUAGUGGGUUAAGGACCUACUCUUAACUAUUGCUACAACUGACAACAUGUGUCCAAGAACAGAGGUUUACAAAGUGACACAGGCCAACUCCAGAAUGUGUCUGUCUUGGAAGUGAUCCCUGCAUACCAAGACUGAAGUAUCCUGCAAAAAGAUGGUCCACAGUGCAUUAAAAUAAACUUUUAAAAAGUUAGUGAAUUUGAUAAAGAGCAUAUAAAGAUUUGCACAAGCCCACAUACGUAGAUUAAAUAAAGUUAUUUUCAUAAAAUAUAUAGGAGAACUUCAUAAUGGGCAAAAUCCCUAAAUACUUCUGUAUUUCGAUUGCGUAUCAGCAUUUCAUAGAUCUAUUCAGAAAUAAAGUCCAAUUUUUCAUCUAAACUUUGGGAUUAAACACCACUGAUUUGUACCCACAAGCACUUUUCGAGAUCUGAAGAUUCUUCUCGCUUGGAGGUGGGCAAGAAUCCCUUCGCCAUCAAGCAAAUGCAACAUGAUUUAGUUAAUAUCACGACAGACAAAGCUGCUAUUGAAUAAACAUCACAGAUCUAAGCUGUAUCAUUUUAAGCAAGUUAGAUUGCAAUUGGGAUUACAAAUUAUUUUGCCAUUGCUGAAUUCCUACUGGUUACUUCUACCAUUUGGACUAGUUAGGCUACUAUUGCAGAGUUUUCUGUCUUUUCUUAAACCAUGUUCUUUAUCCAUCCACAGGAAUACAAAAGAUUGUUCUAACUACAUCACAACAGACAGAACCCCGCAGACAGAAGUUUAAAGAUUUGGAAAACAUUAUGAAAAAGAUACUAAAAAAUGAAUUCCUCCGGCAUUGUGCAGAAAAACAUAAGCAGGAAACAUUUGUUCUUCCCGUUAGGGUUGGAUGACUGCAUUUUGUCAAGUCUUCUGGUAUACUUCUCUUCCAAGAGUUUUACAGGGAUCACUUCUGAAGUGUAAUGAAGUGUCAUGUCUUGUUAAUAACAAUAAAUCAGAACAUGGAAAUGAAAAACUAGAUAAAAUUAGCUGGGUCAUAGUUGGAAAGGUAGUGCUGCUAUCAACAACCACCAGUCCAAUCCACCAAGCUGCUCUUUCUGCAUGUAUCAUGAUUUGUUAGCACAAAACGUAAUACAGGUUUUUUAGUCUUGUUGCAAAUGUGACAAAUUAAUGGUUCUGUAAACCCAUAGAAUGAAUAGUAGAAUUAAUAAGGUUCUUUGUGCAUGACAGGAAUUAAUCUGCUAAGAAUGCUGCUGUUGAGGUAUAUAUACUUACUGAAUGAUUACAUUGUUUUUCUACAGUAUGAACUGAUGCAGAAUGAAUUAAUUUACAAUAGAUUUUCAAAACUUUAAAUUAGGGUCAAAAUAUGACUAUUUAAACCAUGAUGUUAGGAUUUUAACUGCUGAAGAACUUUCCUACUAUGUUUCUUUAGCUGUUUGUUUAUAAACUAAAAAUAGGAGAAAAAGAGUAAACACUUUGAGACAUACAACCAUGGGAAACGAUCAAAGGGGAAAAGAACAAAGAAAAUAGGGUAGAACAGUGAACUCAUAGUAACAAGUAGGUCUGGACACAUAGCCAAAAAACAUAAAGUAGCAGAUGGAAAAAGUGACACCCAAAGAAACAAAGCAGAGUUUAGAACAUAUAUACAAAUCCCUUGUGAACAGUAUUUAUAUCUUGAGCCUUCACAGAACUAAAUUUAUAAUUUCAGUUACACAUCCUUUCCUCUCUUACUCUGUUACUGAUGAAGGCAGCAUAAGUAUCCACCCUUCCACAACUAUAACAUAAAGAAAUACUGAAAACAGGAGGCUGGGAGCAGGGGUAUAAACAAGAAAACAGCCAAAGACAAACAUUAUCACAGGGUUAUCUGUUAGCCUUAGAAAUUCCAUUAUGUAUUCCCCUCCCAAGAAGCCAUAAUAAACAUUUGAAAACACAAUUUAAUAUGUAAACACCAAAAAUAAACAAGAAAAGCAUGAAAAUCCAGAAUAUUUCAAGUUAUAGGUUACCUAGGUAGAAGCUUGCCAAUUAGAGGAUGAAGAAAGAGCUCUUAUUUCUUGCUCUGCCUGUUGCUGCAGCUGUUAUGUGAAUAGCAGUACUGUAAGCAAUCCUAUGAAGCAUAAAGUGGCAUUUGCUAGUUGUUAUAAGUGAUCACCACCACCACUGCCACCCCAAUUACUUACCUUUUAGGUUAAAUGCUCACUGAAGACAAUAUUAAAAACAAAAGUUUAACAGACACAGCACUUCAGGGUAUGCUGAAAACAAUUCAGAGCUGCUUUCAUAUCCAGCUUUAUCAUAUUCCAGAAUUUUGAGUUCUUUUGCAUUACCUGAGGCAGCUACUCAGUCCACAGGGUGACUGCUGAAGACCUGGAGGGCAGCAAAAAACUAAUCACCAGAUGUUACUAAUGUCUGUGAGAACGUAAAGCAGCAUUUCAAACCACCCCCUGCAUUCAAGAGCCCAGGGAGAUCACAGCAUCCUACAAUCUAUAGCAGCAUAGGUGCUCUACUUCCCUUUGUGACUACUGCGCUAUAGCAGCUAAUGGAGUGGCACUGCAAGCUUCUGUCUGUGCUCAAAUUCAGCAGAAUGAACAUCUUUGGUAACUGGCAAAUUCAGCUUUAUAGCACUUGCAGCAUCUAAGAUCCACCAAUGGAACUCAGAGCACUUAGCUAUCACAGUUAACCAGUACUGAGUCUACAAGACUGAUGUAGGCUUUGAAUAAUUUGAAUAAUUUGUAUACCAUUAAAAUGGUUAAAAGCUGACAUUCAGAUGUUAGUCUGUUUUUUAAUGACCUUUAAAUCUGCGUUAGGUACUGCAUGACAGAAUUCGUGACUCUGACUUAGUUGGUCCAUGAUAAACAUCUUUAAUACAAAACUACGUUUUUGUUUGUUAUUAAUCUCACUGUGCCAGCCUAGAGCAACUAGAUCUUCACUCUGUAAUUUCCUGGCUCCUGAAGAUACUCAUCCUGCUCUUCAGGUUCAUGUUAUUAAUACACAGUUCUUUAUAGCUG
rnacentral:lncRNA from 1 species